rnacentral:rRNA from 1 species
UAUUGCGCAAUGGAGGAAACUCUGACGCAGUGACGCCGCGUAUAGGAAGAAGGUUUUCGGAUUGUAAACUAUUGUCGUGAGGGAAGAAAUUGACAGUACCUCAGGAGGAAGCUCCGGCUAACUAUGUGCCAGCAGCCGCGGUAAUACAUAGGGAGCAAGCGUUAUCCGGAUUUAUUGGGUGUAAAGGGUGCGUAGACGGGAAGGCAAGUUGGUUGUGAAAUCCCUCGGCUUAACUGAGGAACUGCAACCAAAACUAUCUUUCUUGAGUGCUGGAGAGGAAAGUGGAAUUCCUAGUGUAGCGGUGAAAUGCGUAGGUAUUAGGAGGAACACCAGUGGCGGAGGCGACUUUCUGGACAGUAACUGACGUUGAGGCACGAAAGUGUGGGGAGCAAACAGGA